CCGUGGUUUGUAUUCAAUCCUUGUUUAUGAAAACACUUUUCCAACGCCAGUUCGUAACAAAGUGCUCCCGGCUCCUGCUCUGCAGCCGAGGGAGCUGCAGGGAGCGUGGGCGGGUCCGGAGCGGGGCUGGGGUGGCGGCAGGGCUGCCACAGGCCGGGGGUGCUCAGGGCGGGCUCAGCUGCUUCCAGCACGAAGGACGGAGACACCUCGCACGUGUCCUGCAGCAGAGGGGCUGGGACAGCGGGCAGACACCCGUGGGAGCCCAGCGGGCCCGCGGCUUCCCUGCUGCGGGGAGCGCAGGGGCUCCGCAGGGCCGGCUCUGCCCGCCCCGGGGCAGCAGGCACUUGGCUGAGGUAGUUCACGGAGUCAUUCUUGGCCAGCCGGCUACUGGGGAGAGAAGCGGCCGUGAACCGGGAGCGGCGGAAGGCCCCGGGACCGCCGCGGGACCCGCCCCUGCCCUUACCAGGCGCCCGAGGUCGUCGGCGAAGGUGACGCCCUUGCUGAGGCGCUGCUCCUGCGAGCCCGUGCUGCUGCCGCUCAGCGAGUUCCGCCGCAUGAUGCCUGCGGGACAGCGGCAUGAGGAGGGCACGGGGCUGGGCAGCUCAGCCCGCACCCCCUCCCAGCCCGCGGGGAAAGGGCAGCGGGGCUGGCACCUGCGGGCGGCGCCAGCUCCAGGCGCUGCAGGCUGUUGCGGCGGGACGGGUUGAAGCUGCCCUUGGACAGGCGGCGCUGCCGGCCGGACAGCAUGGCAGCCGGCGAGACGAUGCCCAGCGGUGGCUGCUUCCCCAUCCGCAGGUACAGCUCCUCGAUCUCCUUCUUCUGGGCGCUCUGCAGCAGCUGCACCUCCGCCAGGUGCCUGGGGAGAGGGCAGGAGCUGGCAGCGGGGCCGCGGGGAAGGGACAGCGAGCUCCCACCCGGGUGGGUGGGGAACAUCUGUCUCCUCCCAGGUGCAGCCCAGCCCCGGCUCACUUCUGGCGCAGGUUCUGCAGCUCCUCCCAGAUCUCCUCGU
rnacentral:lncRNA from 1 species